rnacentral:lncRNA from 1 species
AUGGGGGGAGACAGAGGAUAAAAGGAACAAAAAGAAAGACAAAAGAUUACAUAGAGGUUAUAAUCUCGCGGAGAGGUACAGCAACAUGGUUCCCCAGUCUUUGAGCAGGGAUUGUUUCUGAGCAUUCUUGCAGCGGUUGGACCAAAGAAGAACGUCUUCCGCCGCUGCCCUAGCGAUGCGAUGGAUGCCCCAGGUUUCAUUUCGGAAAACCUGAGCAUUGCAUCUUUUCCACGUGUUCCAAAGAAUGGCAAUGAUCACAGUAGAUCGGACUUUGUUGGUGAGAGCACCAAGCCAUAUAUCACAGCUGUAUACCAUGUGAUUUAGCUCAAUGAACACAGGAGGGCAUAGUUGGGCAUGCACCCAGCUAGACAGACACUAGACCAUGAGAUGUUCGUUUCAAAAAACAGGCAUAUGAAGGCUCUUCCAUGCCCAGGAUUAAAAAGCAAAAGAAAUAAAUAAUUAAAAGGAUACUCCCGACAGCCCUUCUGCACUGAGGAUCCAGAGCAGCAUCAAUCUCAUCAAACAGGUAGAACGGAGCUGGGUCACAUCGUUGGAUAGCGAAGAUCAGUGUUAAUGCCACCACUGUCUUCUGCCCUCCAGACAACUGCUUCAUGGACUGAGUUUCUCCCUUGCCAGUGAAGGAAACCUGAAACAUGACUAAGCAUGAGUCUCCAAACCUGAAACAGCCAUUAAUAAUUUUGAGGAAAGAUCAAACAGGGUGUCAUCACCAUAGUAAUUUAGGAAGAGUUUAAUAACUUGGUAACAGUUUUUUUCUUUUGACAGGACAGCUUGGAAAAUAGUAUCGGACCAUCAUCUGAAUUUCCAUGAUGAAUUUAGAAUAAUAUAUGCAUGAAUACAUAACAGAUCUCUGCAAAGAACACAUGCCUUGACUUUCGCACCAAUAUACUUCUCUAUACUCCCUUCAGGAUCUGGUUCACGAGGCGCGUCCUCAUCCAUGUCAUCAUCGCCAGCAUCACCAUCCUACAGAAAUGGAGUGAGUUAGGAACUAGAAGUGCAAGAAACAGGACCAAAGUUGGUGGGUAAAGCAAGGAAACCGAAACCUUUUUCUUCAUCAUAACCAAGUAUCCGCGGACACCUUGCACUAAUUAAGAGAACACUUCACGGAAGUGCCUUGCAACUCCUUUAAAUGUGUGUUCAAUUGAUUCAUCCUUCCCUUGGUCUAAAACUCAUAUCAACUCUCUAAUUUCUGCAUUACCAAUCAGCAGAUUUUAUGAGAUUCCAGUCUUAGGACAAUCAAAAGGGAAACAAGUUGUGCUGAUCAAAAAACUUGCCUCGAGCCUCGUCACCAGGAUCAAGUUCAGCCCGUCUUCUCCGCUGUUCAGUGAAGUUCAGGCACGACUAGUUGCUUCAAAUGCUCAGCGCAGUCAUAAAGCAGCUGCUGCUUGUUCUUUCUCUUGUACCUUUAUUAUUGGCCAGAAAAUAACUACAGCAUGGUUAACACUAUAAAAAAAGGUAUUGUGCAGCUGAGUUAGCCAGUUUAGCAAUGUAAAACAAAUGGAAACAUAGGUUUCAAAAGCAUCAGCAGGCAAUGAGUCCAAAUUUCGGAUUUUCUUCAUAUACUCAUCUUGCUUGACAAGAUACGAGCUCCUGCUGCUCAUCAACUGUUCCAAGUCCUUCGCCCCAUCUCGCACACUCUGCUCCAAAGUAGCUUCAAGAACCUGUGCUUCGAUGUACAUGAUACAAAACAAGUCGAUAGUAGCUAUACAAGUUAAAACCCAAGGAAACACUAUAACUGUAUAAAUUACCUUCAGAUCAUCCCUUUGUUUUUUUCUUUUGCAUUAACAACAUCGACAUUAGCUGCCAAAGGAUCAUUUAAGGGUGAAGGGGCAUCAUUUGAGGAUGUUGUCUCUAUGGUGAAAGAGGCAGUACCUGAUCUGUCCGGCCCUCUAGCUCUUUUCAUACUUUGUCAUUUUAAAUUUUGUUGAGGGAAUUUACCAUAAUGGCCAAUGUAGUGUAUUUUAGAACUUAACAAGAGUACAGUACAGUAGUUUGUCAUUUUAAAUUUUGCUGAGGAAAUUUAUCAUCUGAAGUUGACUUCAUAAACUUAAGAAAGGCACAUGUUUCUGUACUGUCAUGUUUUUUCUCUUCAACAGAGGCUGGCUUCACAUGUAUCCUGGUGCUAGUUGUGCAAAUUGCUAACCUGAAAAAUAUGAUGAAAUGUACACUACUGCUUACAAAGACUGAGACACCUUGGUUAUGUCCUGUCACUUCUCCAUCUGGCUUUGUGAAUCAUAAACAAAAGCAAUUCAGUUGACAUCGUUGAGGUUGAGCAUUUGUGAUUCUACUGAACCUGUUUGAGCAUAACCAGUUACAUGAUACGCUACUUGCUAAGUUGCAGUAAUAUUUACUAUUCAGGUAAGCAGUACUGGAGUUACUGGCACACGUGCAAACAUAAGUUUCAAGGUGGAAGCUCUUCUUGAGGAAAUCAAGCAGGUUUGCUUAGUCUUUUCUCUAUUGUUACUCAGUGAACUAGUUUUGGUCUGCUACCUUAUUGUGCAAUGCACAUCUUGUUCAACAAUGCUUAUAGAACAUUGUCUACUUAUUAUUAUAGGUCGCAGAUAAAGCUGUUGUUGUUGGCUUUGGAGUGUCAACUCCAGAGCAGGUGAAGCAGGUAAAUCAUAUAUAUCCAGCAACUCUCUUGCUAAGCAAAAUAUCUUGUUCUAUCCCCCUUCCUUUGUUUGCUCAAUCUUUGACAACCCUGUGGCUUCAAUUUUGUCUACAAUGCAGAUCGCGGGGUGAGGCGCAGAUGGUGUGAUCGUCGGGAGCGCACUGAUGAGGCAGUUGGGUGAAUCUGGUUCUCCUGAAGAAGGAUUAAAGAAGCUAGAACAAUUGGCCAAGAACCUAAAGCCGCAUUUCCAUAAAAACAUGCAGUUUUGUGGGGGGCGGCACAUAAAUAUCAUGUUUUUUUGGUUCUGUUUUAAAAGUGUAGCAUUACAAUCUUGGCUUCGGAUUUCGAAGGAUCCUCUUGUGUGAUAGAAUAAAUUGUAUCGAUGUGUUGAAUGCUCAGGUCAAUAAAUUGAGGUUAGUGUUAUAAAUGAUGCAAAAGAUCAUCACUUUGUCCCAAUGCCAUGACAAUGGUUUCCUUGGUUUUUAUUUAUUUUAAAACAGCAUUCCUCAGUGUUUACAAAUGGCUUCAACACGAGCGUGCUAAAAUGUACAUAUAUGGUGUGAAUAAAUGGAGAAAUGACCCUGCAUGCCAUGCUUGCAUCAUACUAUUACAUUGAAUACAUUCUGGUAAUAUACCUGCCGUUUCUUUAUUUUGCUAUAAAUGUUUGAACAUGCGGCUGCAGGAGAGACCUCGCCACUAAAUUUCGUUGAAGUUAUAAACACUUACUAGGUCAAGCAAGAACUGUCAUGUUGAAGUCACUUCCUGGAUGAUAGCAUAUGACAGUGGUAUGACAGUCUAGUCAGGAGUUACUUGCAGAACUAAAAUGACCAUGGACAAUUUACUCAGAACAAGGACACUGUAGGGUGUUAAGAGUGCUGGUGAUGAACAAUGAACCUGUGUGGCAUUACAUAACCAAUCUUCACUACGAACAGUGGUAUCACUGGAUGAGUUGUGCUAUUAUCUUCCCCUAAAAAGCAAAUAAAAUACAAUUCUGUUCUCAGACUGGCAUGCACUGCUAUUAUUUGACACCAUGCAAACAGAUUUCGCUGAAGGAAUCUCCCAGUCUGUAUGUACAAGAACUUAAACAAGUUGAUGCAGGAUUCCAAGGUAUUUAAUGACGACAAAAGGAGAUAUCCAUUUCAAAUAGCAUAUGAGAGCACACUGCUUUCAAAAGCAUCAAAAAAGGAUGACGUGAAUAAUUUAAACAACCAAUGAAAAUAAUAAUCAAUUUGCUGGUCAAGCUAAACCUCUCAUAUGGACAUGAACUCCAAUCUCAAAAGGAAACCAAAGAUCUUUCUUUUUAUUGAAGUUUGCAUUCAAAUUUAUUUCCAUAGUUUACGUCACAAACAACAAAGUAUAUAUUUUUUAUAUGCAUUCUUAUUCAUGUUGUUAUCCCUAUUCGAUGACAAGCAUACCAUUACACAGUAACUGUAUCAAAGUUUACAAAUGCUCCUAAGUAUAUUAAAAAAAAUCCGCGGGACAUGCUCCUGAUUCGUGAACUACAUACAAAGCUACUGCAUAUGACAGUGGUAUGACAGUAUAUUCAGGAAUUUGUCGCAGAACUAUACUGACCAUGGACAGUUUACUCAGAACAAGGCCACUAUGGGGCAAGGGUGAUGGUGACGAACAUUGAACAUGUGUGGCAUUACAUGACCAAUCUUCACUACAAAUAGUGGUAUCACUGAAUGAGUUGUGCACCUAUUUGGUAUUCUUUGACACCAUGCAGGCAUAUUUUGCAGGGGAUCUCCCAGUGUGUAUAUAUGUACACCAAUUUAGACAAGUUGAUUCAAGAUUCCAAGGUAUUAAAUUACUACUCCCUCUGUCUCCUUUGUACUCCCUCUGUCUUACAUUUUGCGACAGAGGGAGUACAAAGGAGACAUCCAUUUCAAACAACAUAUGACAGGAUACUACUCUCAGAUGCAUCAAAAUAGGGUGACAUCAAUGAUUUAACUGUGAUGGAUCACAAGUUACAGUUACUUGAACUAAAUAAAUGGAUAGUGAUGGAUAACAAGUUACAGUUACUUGAAAUAAACAAAUGGAUAGAAAGAGGAUUUAUCCAAUCCACCACCCUAAAUCAAGGAAAUCUGGGCCAUACCAACAUCUGAUUCUCAUAAAGUCACUGGAGCCAUGCCUGCUCAGCAAACAUGAAGCUGCUCCAAAGUUUAUUUAGGCUUCUCCGCAAAACAUGGAAUGUACGGCUGAAAUCUUCGUGGCUGGCGGUCUCCGAAAGUGCAGAUAAUACUCAGUUUACUGGUAUCCAUAUCGUACGACAUAAGUGUUUUUCCACGGCUCACUACUAGGAAGAUCAAACUGCACUCUGGAUGGAUCGCGAUCAGUGUGUAGUGUUCGCCGGGCUCAUGGUGAGGCCUUCCUAGCAUUUCUAAAAUGCUGGCAGUACACUUCAGGGUCCAUUGUCCGCUGGCAUAAUCCUCAAGAACCCAAACGGAUAGCCGGCACCUACCUUCAGUUUCAACAUGCGUUGCGUAUAGGCGUCCUUGCGACUGCCCGAUGAAACCAUUAUAGAUGCAAUCCGGCAUUCGGAUCUUCCUCCAUGUUUUACCCUCCAUGUCCACAGUCACCAUCCAGCGUAUCAGAUUCCCCUCCCAGUCAAAAUCGGCAUCAGAAUGGUCGGCAUCGACCAGAUGCAAAGUGCCGUUCAAGAAGACGCAUUCUGAAUCCUCACCGAGGAGGAGGGUCUUGGGGUUCCACUCGCUCCGCAUGGAGGUCCACCGUCCGGUGUCCGAGGAAUAGGCCUCCACCGUCUGAAUCCCACGAAAACUUUGCACGAACACGAACACCACGAAUCGGCCGGGGGCGGCGGGGUCGAAGCAGAGGCGGGCAGUGUUGAGGCGUGUCAUGAUCUUGUUUCGGGGCACAGACAGCACGGCCCAGAUCUCCUUGGUGGCAGGGUUGCACACGACAUAGUUCCCGUCGUCGCUCAUGGCCACCUUCUCGCAGUAGCAGAGGAGGAUGCCGCCGCAGCAGUGCAGGGGCGUGACGUCGCAGUAGCCACGCACGCGCACGAAGAGGAGGGAGGGGUCGUCGACCAGCGGCCGGCCCCACCCGGACAGGUUGAGGAAGCUGAGGCCGUCGCGGCGCUGGCCGCCGCCGACGUCGUGCUGGGAGUAGCAGAAGAAGCCGGAGAGCGUCUGCGGCGACCUCCUGCGGACGGCCGGGUCGGAGCAGAGCGCCAGCCACGCCUUGGACACGCACCUGAAGCGGCACAGCGACCGGUACGGCACCCGCGACAGGAUCUCCCGGAGGAUCUCCGGAAGCAGGUCGGCCCCCCAGGAGCUCUCCGCCGCCGCCGGCUGCUUCUGCUCCUCGUCCUCCUCCACCUUCUUCCUCUUCUCCAUCCCGUACCCCGGUGGCCGGGCUGCUCCUGCUGCGAAUGGUAGAGGCAGUUUGUUCGCUUAGGGUUUUGAUGAGAUGCGGCCCUCCCGGAUCCUUACUCGAGCCGAAGGUUAGGAGAAGGAGAGGGGAGGAGGGCGACAAACCUCACACCUCAAAGCGCGACGGGGACUGCGGCGACGGACGGGACGACGGCGGCGGCGGCGGCGGCGCGUACGAGAUGGUGGAGGCGAGCUGCCGAACCCGGAAGGGGGACACUCUGCUGUCAGCUCCGUGUCUCCCGCAUCUUCGGCCCAAGAAUAAAACACAACUGCGGCGGCCUCUCGGCCCAAAAUGUGUUUUAGAUAGAGCACAUGAUUUUCUAAGCUCUAAAAAAAACAUGUUUUUCUAGGUACUUAAUUACUUGAGCCAAAAUGCAUUCGAGAUGAUAUACCGGCUCAGUCUUUCGGAGGUGCUCAUAGGGGUACGAUGUGCGUGUGUGCGUUUAUAAGGGUGAGUGUAUGCGCGUGUAUAUGAGCGCUUGCGUCUGAAUCGUGUUAAAAAAAAUUGCAGGCCCCAUACUUUCAGUAAAAGAAAAAAUAAAGUGGUGCCGGCACAAAGAUUAUGCUACAAUUAAACAUCAUGUUACAAAGAUUUUGCACUGAUACAUCUUUGGCUUGCAUAGAGCACUAUUCUUCAAAUAUUGUUGCUUCCUAGAGCAUGGUGCUUCUGCCUACUGGGGCAGCACUACGUGAUGAUCAUGGAAAUUUUAUAGCGGCAAAUAACUGCACAAUACCCCCACAUGGACUCGGCAGCUAUGGCGGAGGCAAUUGCCCUGUGUAAUGGUUUGGUACUUGCCAGACAGGUGGGUUGCAGCAAAAUUUAAGUUGAUUCAGGCUGAAUUGAGGUGGACACGAUGAAGAACGGAGGCAACUCAGUCGGUGUUUGCAGCUGCAGUUUAUGAAGAAUGCUCCUUUCUAUGCAAGACUUUACGAAUGUCAAGUUCGAUCAUUGUCCUAUAAAAAGUUGCCCAUCUUUUAGCUUCUACUUCUAAGGUUUCUGCUGCUAAUAUGUGGCAGCAGGAACACACAUCUUUUAUCUUCGCACAAUUAGCAAACUCUCCCCACUGAUCAAUGAAUUUGGUAGUCAAACUACCAACAUCCCAAAAAAACAAUUAGCAAACAAUUUAACUUUUAUGUCAACCGAAUAAAGUCACCAUGAUGUCUUCCCCUCAAAAAACUUAGCAACACAGAAAUUAUUAUGGUCAUGGCCUCUAUUCUUUCGGUACGUACUGAGAAAACUAUUUAUAACAUAUUCUAGGGUUCAGUUUUCAGAAGAGAAUCAUUUAUAACAUAUUCGAGCAUUUAGUUUUCAGAAGAGAAUCCUGCCGAUCAAACAGGGCCUACGGCUUAAAAGAUACUGUAUGACCUAGAUCUGUUGCAUCUAACUUCAGUUCCAACUAGAGACAAAUAUAACUCCGAACCACAGAGAUAACUCUUAUCUAUCAGGUUAUCAACAGGUUCCAGAUGCCACUAACCCCUCGCAGUCGUAGCCAAUGAAACAACAGAGAUGGUCGACCAAAUUUUGCAGCAGUGCAGUACAAAUAGACAAAUCGAAUCCAAUCACGCAAACGCUCCCUAAGCAUACUUAAACAAGAGUUAGUAAUCCAAAAGGCUCCUACGCAUUCUUCAAGUUACCAGUCCAAAGGCUAACUAAAUAUACACAGCUACAUUAACAGUGGCCUACAAUGUCCAGGAGUAGACGAACGGCAACACACGCCCACAUAUCUUUCCUUUCCUGUGUAAACAUCUUGCUGCAGGGAACAAACAAAGAUGGCGAUGUCAGCGAGCCACUGCGUAUGAUGAUGAGCUGCCAAGAUAACUCAAAAUGCAAAGAGGAACAACACACACAGCUGCUCCUUGUGCCUCGGUCGGCCUCAGCUGGCGUUGGCCGUCUGGUCGUGCUCAAUGAAGUCCAUGGCCUGCUCCUUGGACACCACGUUGAUGAAGCUCACCCUGUUCUUGUGUGUCACGCCGUAGAUCUUGUCCGCGACCUUCAGGAUCUCCGGCCUGAAUGUGGUGGCUAUGAACUGGGUGUCCGCCAGGUCGGCCAGACGCCGGACCACGCCUACAACAGGACUUAAGGAAAGCAGCAACAAAGAUUCGGAUGGAUAUUCUCAGCAGCAGCUGUAUACCAUGUGAUUUAGCUUAAUGAACACAGAAGGCAUUGUUGGGCAUGCACCCAGCUAGACAGACAAUAGAACAUUAGAUGUAUGACAUGAUAUUAUGGAGAAUUGAAUUCAUUGGAAAACAAGCAUAUGAAAGCUCCUCCAUGGCGAGGAUGAAAAUGCAAAAGAAAGAAAUAAUUAAAAGGAUACUCCCGACAGCCGUUCUGUACUGAGGAUCCAGAGCAGCAUCAAUCUCAUCAAACAGGUAGAACGGAGCUGGGUCACAUCGUUGGAUAGCGAAGAUCAGUGUUAAUGCCACCACUGUCUUCUGCCCUCCAGACAACUGCUUCAUGGACUGAGUUUCUCCCUUGCCAGUGAAGGAAACCUGAAACAUGACUAAGCAUGAGUCUCCAGACAGACAACCUUGAAGUCAUCACCAUGGUAAUUCAGGAAGAGUUUAAUAACUUG